ensembl:lncRNA
CUUUUAGUUUUAGCUCUUAGCUUUUAGCCAUGCUUUUUUUCAUUACAUUUUGCGUUCUUUGAGCUAUGUUCCAGCGUGCUUGGACCUGCACGUCUGCUGCUACUUAGCCACGAUGAGAAGAAACACCACUUAAGCUGUGUUCCAAAGUUGAGUGUGCACACUUCGAAGGCCAAGGACUUCGAAGACCAGGCCUCCGAAACCAGACCCCUGUACUGCAGGAUAAAGCUGAAUGUGGCAGCGCUGGACAGGUUUUUAAUGGUUUUGUUCUGAGCAGCGAGGCCCUGAAAGUGCUGCUUGAUCUUCAGAGCAGUGCCACAAUCCAGACCCUGGUGUUUUUCUUCUGUCUGCCAGUGGUACAUCAUACAGAGUGGUCUCCAGAGUGUUUGACAUGUGCCUCGUUCCACUGUCCACCACACUGUCCUCCGAGUCGCUGAGGAGGUGCUGGUCAUUCACCAAGAGAUUGACCUCCUGAAGACCCCAGAACACAUGGAGGCAGGGCUGGGCGUAAACUGAUGUUGUUUUUCUGAUGUUAAACCUAAGCUAUGUUGUAAAUGGUUAUAAAAAGUACUUUCAGUUAUAGCUCGACUAUGCCACCCAAUGAAAGAGCUGGGUCUCUAUUAAAUAAAAUAACCUUAUCUUUUACUUGCAAGUUCCUUUAGUUUGGUGGGAGCAACACAACAGAUCUACCCAGACAACAGUUUCGAUAUAAAAAUAUAAUUUAUUAUCUCUAAUUACAACAGUAAAAAAGGGGUGUGUAAUGCGCACAAGCACUCUCUCACUCAAGCUUAAAAGCUGGACACGACAAACACAUUCCAAAAAUCCACUGGAAGUCCUUAGCUAGGUGCCCACAGUCCAUAAGCGGUUCCUUAACACAAGUUCGUCUCUCGCCAGGCAGUGGCGUCUACACAGCAGGCCACCUGUCAAUCACUCGCACACACCAACACAACACUCACACAAACAAAAAGAAAGCCGCCAGUAUCUCCACAGUAGAUAAUAAACACAGCAUAGCACAACACCACAGUAGAAGAGUUAUCAAUCGUGCAAUACCCAAUUAAAAUCACUGCAAUUCGUGAAUAUACACAAGCUAUAUAUAUUAUCUAAAUAUAUAAAUAUAUAUUAUAUCUAAAUAAUUAUGACUACGGCUGACAGACUGGAACUCUCCAAUUUAGGUGAGAUGUGGAUCUUAACUUCGGACGAGACAAGGCAGCAUAACUUAACACAGGGCAUCACUCACCAAUAAACUGGGAGCAGACGAAUCUGACUCCCAGUCCUGUUGGACAGCACUCCACAAAAACCACUGGACCAGGACGGACAAGGCAGGCUCCGGACAGCACAGCAAGGAACGGCAGCAACCUUAGCGCAGCACAGGAGAAGACGAAGACACACAGCAGCCACCGAGUUGAUAGCAAGACCGGCACAUCAACAACUUUGGGCUUCGACACAAGCAGACAAUAAUCAAAUGCAACAAUCGUGGCAACAAAAUAAGUCAAUCGCAACUACCAUCCAGCAGUAAAAACGUGGGGAACAGAGCAGCAACAAGCAGAGUUCACGGGGUAACAGGCACCUGUUUUAAUUCCUUCGCUGUUUUUGAACAGUCUGUGAUUUGGGAUGGCAAUUACCAACAGCUGUCUAUCCGCUAAUCAGAUAUGGUCCGAGCCCUAGGAGAACACGGGGGCGUCACCCCAC